rnacentral:rRNA from 1 species
UACGUAGGGGGCAAGCGUUGUCCGGAUUUAUUGGGCGUAAAGAGCGUGUAGGCGGCUUUGCAAGUCCGUUGUGAAAACUCGAGGCUCAACCUCGAGACGCCGGUGGAAACUGCAAAGCUAGAGUCCGGAAGAGGAGAGUGGAAUUCCUGGUGUAGCGGUGAAAUGCGCAGAUAUCAGGAGGAACACCGGUGGCGAAGGCGCCACUCUGGGCCGAAACUGACGCUGAGGCACGAAGGCCAGGGGAGCAAACGGG